AAUCCAUAGGUUAAUGAGGCGAACCGGGGGAACUGAAACAUCUAAGUACCCCGAGGAAAAGAAAUCAACCGAGAUUCCCCCAGUAGCGGCGAGCGAACGGGGAGGAGCCCAGAGCCUGAAUCAGCAUGUGUGUUAGUGGAAGCGUCUGGAAAGGCGCGCGAUACAGGGUGACAGCCCCGUACACAAAAGCGCAUGUGCUGUGAGCUCGAUGAGUAGGGCGGGACACGUGGUAUCCUGUCUGAAUAUGGGGGGACCAUCCUCCAAGGCUAAAUACUCCUGACUGACCGAUAGUGAACCAGUACCGUGAGGGAAAGGCGAAAAGAACCCCGGCGAGGGGAGUGAAAAAGAACCUGAAACCGUGUACGUACAAGCAGUGGGAGCACCCUUUGGGUGUGACUGCGUACCUUUUGU
rnacentral:rRNA from 4 species